ACAAAUAUCGUGUCCAAAAAAUCAAACAACUUUUUCGGAAAUUGUACAAUUUUAUUUUCUAGAACAAAUACGAAUUAAACAUAAAAAACAUUUAAAGACAACCAAACUUACAAAUUGGUAUAUACAUAUGUAAUGUAUCUGUACAACGACGAACAAAAAUAAAAAAACUAUUUAAAAAUCAAUACUAAGCACUCCUUGACAAGAUUUGAAAACAGAAUUAAAAUUAUUUCUGAAAAUUUCGAAAAAAUAAUAAUCAGCCUUAUCACAGGCCCCGCCGUAACGGAUUGGUAAUACGAACCCCGAAUAAUUGUAUCAUUGGUCCCGUCGUACUAAAAAAAAUUGCUACGAAAUUCGGAGUUCGUGAAAAUUGAUAUCACUAGCCCCGAAUGAAUAGGAAGUUUGGCAGUUUUUUCCAUGAACAAUUAUUUUGAUCGGAGUUUUUAAAACGAACAAAAAAUUAAGCUUGCGAAGAUAAAUUAAAUAAAAAUAAAAUAUAUGAAAAGAAUCAUGGCAAAUAAAGUUAUCACAAAUAAAAUUCAAUUCGAAAGGCUUUAUGAAAAGUCUUCAAGAAAAACUUGAAAUUGCCCAAGGAUUUUCAAAAAUCCCUAAGGAGGAAGUAAAUUCGUUUUGGGAGGCAGUAAAAAAGAGUUAAAUAGUUAAAGGCCCACCUUGUAGGGACACCUCUAGCUGGAAAAAAGUAAAUUGAAUAAAUUAGUCCAAACUUUUUUAUAAUUUAAUUCUUAAGUGCGGUUAGAUGGGAAGGCAUAAAUCAAGAGGAAAAUGGUUGAGAACAAAAAAGAAUGCAAAGCUACAGGUGGCAGAGCAAGUAGAAUGCAUUUUUGUAGCAGCCUCGAAGAAGGUGUCAUAAGACUGAAUGGCUUUGAAACUUUGACCAGCGGAAUAAAAGAUCCACAAUCUUUUGGAUUUGAAAAUUCUUCCAAGCCUUUAGAAUCAAAUGAACCUUGUGAAGAGAACCAACUUGCCGAUGUUUCGAUGUCAUCAGACGUACGUAGUUGAUGUGAAAAAUGUUCCACGGCGUCUUUCAACCACUUCGCGUCAAUCAUAUGAUUCAUCCAGUCUUCGUGUAUUUUCUUCAUUUAUUUCAAAGAUUGCAACGACAAUACUAUCAAUUUUUAAAGACAAAAACAAAUAAAAACAAGAACAAAUCGAAAGAUGAAAAACGAACUUUUAUUUAGUUUUCUUAUUUUGACGCAUAUCAGCUGAUUUUAAAACUCCGAAAUUAGUAUUUCUGUGUGCCAAUGCUUUCUUGAAUUCGUUCGGGGCUUAUGAUGUAAAUGUAUUCGUAUUCGUAGCGUAACACAAUUUU